GGGGAAUUUUGGACAAUGGGCGCAAGCCUGAUCCAGCCAUGCCGCGUGCAGGAUGAAGGCCUUCGGGUUGUAAACUGCUUUUGUACGGAACGAAAAAGCUCUCUCUAAUACAGAGGGUGAAUGACGGUACCGUAAGAAUAAGCACCGGCUAACUACGUGCCAGCAGCCGCGGUAAUACGUAGGGUGCAAGCGUUAAUCGGAAUUACUGGGCGUAAAGCGUGCGCAGGCGGUUAUGUAAGACAGAUGUGAAAUCCCCGGGCUUAACCUGGGAACUGCAUUUGUGACUGCAUUGCUGGAGUGCGGCAGAGGGGGAUGGAAUUCCGCGUGUAGCAGUGAAAUGCGUAGAUAUGCGGAGGAACACCGAUGGCGAAGGCAAUCCCCUGGGCCUGCACUGACGCUCAUGCACGAAAGCGUGGGGAGCAAAC
rnacentral:rRNA from 1 species